GCGGCGUCGCGGAGCUCGGGCCGGUGGAAGGUUUACCUGCUAGGCUCGUCCCACCUGUGUGGAGCUCCCAUCGCCCUCCAGCGUUGCGCAGCCUGAAGGGACAGGACGGACAAGCGGGUGCCUCCUUCUAAUUCAUCUUCACCAUUGUGGUUGUCAAUAUGGCAUGCAGAAUUAUCCCUCUUUCCAGCUUCUGGAGUCUACCUGGAUUCCUGGGCUCAUGGCCCCUUCCUCCAUCUUCAAACCAGCAAUGAUUGGAACGACCUGGAGCAGCCAGCAGAGUGACAAAUGAGGAAGAGGACAGAAUCUAGCUGAAGAAGCUCUGGAAGAUACCAUUUGAAGUCUUGAGUGCUUGAACUCACAAAGAAAGCACAUGAGUACACACUAGCACUUGAGCUCUUCAUUUUAAACAGAAUAAAGAAUGUACUGCUAUUAUUGUCAUUUUACAGAUAGGGAAAUUCAGACUCACCAGGGCUACUCAGAUACAAAGAAAAUGAGCCAGAAUUUCAAGCAAGCCUGAGCUUAGAAUCUACACUAUUUUUUUUUUUUUUUUUGAGACAUGGUCUUACUUUGUCACCCAGGCUGGAGUUCAGUGGUAUUAGGUUGGCACAAAAGUAAUUGUGGUCUCUGCCACUUAAAACUAGAGCCCGAAACUGCAAUUACUUUUGCACCAACCUAAUGCACUUACCAGAGCUCACUUACGCCUUGACCUCCUGGGCUCAAGUGAUUCUCCCACCUCAGCCUCCCAAGUGGCUGGGAAUGUGGGCAUGCACCACCCUGCCCGGCUAGCUUUUCUUUCUUUUUUUUUUGUGGAGACAGGAUUUUGCCAUGUUGUCCCGGCUGGUCUUUAACUCCUGAGCUCAAACUAUCCUUCUGCCCUGGCCUCCCAAAGUUCUGGGAUUACAGGCAUGAGCCACUGUGCCCGGCCCAGAACCUAUGCUCCUAACUGCCACACCAAUUGACCUCUAUUCAGCCAUUUUUAUUUCUAUAGCACUUGGUAUAAUUUCACUUUGCACACAGUAUCUAUAGAUAAUCAUUCCAGGGCAUGUAAUCGUCAUAAGAUUAUUUAUGUUAUUGCAUGUGUAUUACUGCAUGUAAUCUUCAUGUGUUAUUGCCUCUAACAAGUUAUGUAUUUCCAUGUAGUCUUCAUAACUGUGUAUAGAAGACCAUUUUAGAGAUGGAAAACUGAGACUCAGAAGUGGUAAUUGUCCUACUGGUCAGAGAUUUAGCCAGGGUUUGGAUUGUGGAAUGCAGAGGACCACUUACUUUUCACUAGACCAUAAAUGCUCCUCACCACUGAGGCAUGUCAAAUGCCAGAUAUCUCCAGGAACCUUAGGCUACGUCUCCAUUGUUUUUGCUUUUUCCCCCCUUAGACACAGCUUGGCAAAGAACAAAUGAUCCCAAACACCAAACAGCACACUUGGAAACAUUUAACCCGCAUACUUUCAGACUUUCUGGCAUGGACCAACCUCUUGUCUUACCUUUGUUCCUGGCCAGAAAGAAAUGGCAUGAAAAGAUGGACAGUUUUUAUAACCUCUUUGAGCUCUAAACCAUGUUUCCUGUGCACUUAGGAGAUCUUAAUAGAAACCAAGUACUUCUUUUAGGCAUCUAUACUCUUAAUGCCGUAAGUCAAGUCAAGUACCCAGGUGGUUAAGAUAACUGUACCAACAGAAACAUUUUUAAAAAAUAUCCUAACACAACAUGAAGUGACCAUCGCGAAUUCAAAGAAGCAGGCAUAUUUCUUAAAGGUUGAAAAGAGGUGAGUCUUUCACAAGAUUCUAGCUCAAGGCCAUAUUUGCACAAGUAUAGUCAUUCCUCUAGCAAGGUUUUGUUUAUCUGGCCAUUAAAAAAAAUUAAAACAA
rnacentral:lncRNA from 1 species